CCCUCAGAAAGAAAGAUGGAUCGUAAUGAUGAGAGAAUAAAAAGAGCUUUAAGACGCCGCCCUUAUGUGUUGAAACCAGUGAGGGUGAACAGCCCUGAUUCCGUGUUGUGGCCAACCGGCAAGGUGCACAGAAGGCCAAAGCCUUCUACUUCAGUGCAGACCCCUCAGAUCCACAAAAGGCCUCCAAUCAUUGUGAGCUAUGGGCAGGACCAAACAUCUGGGGA